rnacentral:lncRNA from 1 species
AAACUGGUUAAUCAAAACCAAAUAGUUAAAAAGUGUGUAAAUUCAGUGCAUUGCCAAUUUAGCAAACUGGGUCAGCAAACCAUCUUGUUUCCUAGCCCUGAUUGGGUUCUUUCAGAUCUUAUUUUGAAAAUAAACUCAUAGUUCUUAUCAUUUGUUUUACAGAUAAGGAUACUAAAACGAGUAGUAAUUGUGAGUUAACUAAGGUCAUAGAGACACUUGACAAGAAUCCAAGAUUUCUAACAUCUGGUCUUAAUUUUUAAUUUUGUUAGAGGAUUCUAAUUUUAAAUGUCCUUUCCUAUAAAAACUAAAGGUUAUACUCCUCUGGUGGUCCAAACCACACUGUCUGCCUCAUCACUUUUUUCAUCAACUUUGUUGUCAAGAUACAGCGGAAAGACCAUUGCUCACAAGUGAGAAAAUUUCCACGUUGUUGAGAUUCUGUUGUUAACUAGUAGUUUUCUAUAGGUUAGUGUGAUGGUUAUCUACCUAUCAACCCUGCUGGAGCAGAAGUCUGCAUACUAAAUUCCACAGACUCUUUUGGCAGUAAAGCAUUAGAGAGAAAAGCAUAAGGGAAGUAUUAGAGGGAAAUGAGAAGGUGCAGAGAGGAGAGAAGAGACUUCUUUUCAGUUUUUGAUAGUGUGUUCCAGCAAGAGAAGACAGUUGCAGCUUUGUGAUCUGCCUUCUGUGGGACUUCUAGCACCAGCUUUGCUGCAGUUUCUCAGAGAGACAAAGACCAGGCAAUUAAAUCUCCUCAGUGGUUCCAAGCUCCAGCUUCAUAUCCCCGUCCCCCCAGUCAAGCUGUCUAAGCACCAACUGUGUAAAGGAUGAGUCUCCAAGCUCUUACUCUGUCUUCUACCAGCACUAAAGCUGUGUGUUGAGACUUCUCUGCUGGACUCUUGGACUUCCACAAAGAUGGCAAAAAUUCUCCAACAAAAAACACAAAAAGGCCUCCCUGCCAAGAUUGCAUCUAAGGGAGAAGCCCUGAGCUAACAUCUGUUACUGCUGAUCAGUAGAGCAGGUCCACACCCAGGAUCCAAACCCCUGAAUCUGGGGCUGCCAAAGCAGAGCACGCAGAACUUUAAAUACUCAGCCAGAAGAUCUGCCCUGAGUUUGAGACUAGAAGUGGACAAAACUGACCAGGUGCCCUGCUAAAUAAAAGCAAUUUGACAGAUGGCACAAGUGCGUAGUCCUCCCUGAUCCGUGGUUUCAAUUUCCAUGGUUUCAGUUACUCCUGAUCAACUGCAGUCCGAAAAUAUUAAAUGGAAAAUUUCAAAAAUAAACAACUCAUAAGUCUUAAAUUACCUGCUGUUCUGAGUAGCAUGAUGAAAUCUUGAGCCAUCCCACUCCAUUCCUCCUGGGAUGAGAAUCAUCUCUUCAUUUAGUGUAUCCAUGCUGUAUAUGCUACCUGCCUGUUAGCCCCUUAGUGGCCAUUGUGAUUAUCAGAUCGACUGUCGCAAUGUCUCAAUGUUUGUGUUCAAGUAACCCUUAUUUUACUUAAUAAUGGCCCCAAAGAGCAAGAGUAGUGAUGUUGGCAAUUUGGGUAUGCGAAAGAGAAGAUAUAAAGUGCUUCCUUUAAGUGAAAACGUGAAAGUUCUCAAAAAGGAAAAACAAAGCCGUAUGCUAAGGCUUUCAGCAUCCAAGCUGACUUUUAUUACAGUAUAUUAUAAUAAUUGCUCUAUUUUAUUAUCAGUUAUUGUUGUUAAUCUCUUACUGUGUGUAAAUUAUAAAUUAAACUUUAUCAUAGGUAUGUAUGUGGUGGGAAAAACAUAGUAUGUAUAUGGUUUG